UACAGAGGGGGCAAGCGUUAUUCGGAAUUAUUGGGCGUAAAGGGCGCGUAGGCGGCCUGGCAAGUGGAAGGUGAAAUCCCUCGGCUUAACCGAGGAACUGCCUCCCAAACUGCUUGGCUCGAGACCGGGAGAGGUGAGUGGAAUUCCCAGUGUAGCGGUGAAAUGCGUAGAUAUUGGGAGGAACACCAGUGGCGAAGGCGGCUCACUGGACCGGUACUGACGCUGAUGCGCGAAAGCGUGGGGAGCAAACGGG
rnacentral:rRNA from 1 species